rnacentral:rRNA from 1 species
CUACGGGCCGCAGCAGUGGGGAAUAUUGCACAAUGGAGGAAACUCUGAUGCAGCAACGCCGCGUGGAGGAUGACACUUUUCGGAGCGUAAACUCCUUUUAUAUAGGAAGAAGAUGACGGUACUAUAUGAAUAAGCGCCGGCUAACUCCGUGCCAGCAGCCGCGGUAAUACGGAGGGCGCAAGCGUUACUCGGAAUCACUGGGCGUAAAGAGCGUGUAGGCGGAUUAAAAAGUCAGAAGUGAAAUCCUAUAGCUUAACUAUAGAACUGCUUCUGAAACUCUUAAUCUAGAAGUAUGGGAGAGGUAGAUGGAAUUUCUGGUGUAGGGGUAAAAUCCGUAGAGAUCAGAAGGAAUACCGAUUGCGAAGGCGAUCUACUAGAACAUUAUUGGCGCUGAGACGCGAAAGCGUGGGGAGCAAACAGGAUUAGAUACCCCCGUAGUC